UGACAAUGCGAGACUCUGUGUCAAAAUAAUAAUAAUAAUAAUAAGGUACUGAAGGCAGGCAUUGAUACAGCCGUUCAUAUUUCACAAGGCCUCUAGCUGGGUUAAGAUGUCAAGGUACAACCCUUUGUGGCUCAGGGCUUCUCCAGGUGUGGGGCUUCAACUAUCCCAAGCUCCCCUGAGCUGCUAGUGACAAUGUAGUUUCCAGCGGCUCUCACCUAGGGGCUCCCAAUCCCUGGGGCUGUGUUGGAAAGCUCAAAGAGGUCACAGACCCCCGCUCAAGGGAAAAAUUCUUAUUUAUAUCUUUAUUAUUAUUAUUUUUGGAGACAGAGUCUGGCCCUGUCACCCACACUGGAGUGCGGUGGCGCAAUCUUGGCUCACUGCAACCUCCGCCUCCAAGGUUCAAG
rnacentral:lncRNA from 1 species